UGUUAAAUACUAAUUACAUAUAGGGACAUAUAAUAUUUCAAUUUCACUAAUUAAUUAAAAUCCUUUUGAAGGACGUGCCUAUUUUGUUGGACUUUCUUCCUCCCUUAAUCCAAUUUCACUCAAACACUUUCAAUUUUCCUACCAUUCAUUUCAAACACUUCUCGUUCCGUCUUCUUGCGGCCUCCGGCGAGGCCGCGCUCGGACGAGGCGUCACCCUUCUCAUGUGUCCCCUCUCUGAUUCACUUUUCUCCAACAGCUAAUUCAAGCCCUAGCUUUUUAAUCAUCACAAUAUUCUGCCGCCGCACUGGGGAUUCCGGCGAGCCCUAGUCUCUCCCAAAAGAAAGAACCUCGCUGCCUCUCUCUUCGCCUGGAUUCGGCGAUUGCCAUCUCCUAGCCUCUACCUACCGUCGACUUCUCCCACUGCUGGACGGAGCGGAGCAGCCCGCGUUUGCCAACGCCGACUCCUGAAGCUGCGUCGCCAUUUGCCAUACACCCGGCUCCGACAUCGCAGUCGCUCCACCGCCUCACUUCCAGGGGAGUCACCGCCGUUUCCAUGGACGGCAGCCUUCGGUUAAACACCGCCCCUCUUCCUCUGGCCAUCUGUGGCUGGACGUUGGAGCAGGGCAGCGUCACCCAUUUCCGGUUCUCACAAGCUCAAGGGAGUCUCUCACAAACAGGUAAGCUCUCUAAGUAGAAUAUUAAUCAACAGCCCUUAGCUAAACUCUUCUCGCCCCAAUCGAAGAAGCCUAGGUUUUUAUUGAAGUAGGUGAACAAGGGAAUCAAAAUUCCAAACAAGAUACAUCUUGUUGCUCUGCAAUUCUAGGAAGAUGAUACUACAAGUGGAACCUAAUGAUAAUGAGAUUGUGGAUAUCAGUGUGAACAGGUGUUGAUUUUGUAAGUGUAGAUGUUCUCUUACAUAUUCAAGUAUGAUCAAGGUACCUUAACCAUAUUAAUAUUGUCUGAGGUAUUCUAGCAAUGCAGAGCUGGGAAAGAGCAAUGCAUGUUUUAAUUACGUUGUCAAGAAUGAAAUGAGUUCAUUGAUAUCCAUUUAUUCAA